UACGGGGGGGGCAAGCGUUGUUCGGAAUUACUGGGCGUAAAGCGCGUGUAGGCGGUCCGGUAAGUCCGCUGUGAAAGUCCAGGGCUCAACCCUGGGAUGCCGGUGGAUACUGUCGGGCUAGAGUACGGAAGAGGCGAGUGGAAUUCCCGGUGUAGCGGUGAAAUGCGCAGAUAUCGGGAGGAACACCAAUUGCGAAGGCAGCUCGCUGGGACGUUACUGACGCUGGAGACGCGAAAGCGUGGGGAGCAAACAGG
rnacentral:rRNA from 1 species